ensembl:lncRNA novel transcript, sense intronic to MYO5B
GCAAGAGUGGCAAAAGUGGAGUCCAGAGAGAACAGAAAGAAUACUGGGAUGAGUUUCUGAAUACAGCCAGCCACAUCCGGGAAGUGGAAAAGAACGAGACAUUGCCUCCCUCUCAGCCUUCAAGAUGCCAAGGUAGCAGAGGGCUUUGGCUAUGGCCAGCCCAUUCUUGCGGAGGACAGUUGGCCUGGGAGCAACACAGGCUGUAACAGAUUCAUGUGUUCUGCUGAGGAACAGCUGGGGAGAGAAUGGGGUAGAAGGUGGGGAAGUUUUGACCCCAGGAAGCAGGACAUAGGAUUUCCUGGGAUUUUAUAUCCUCAUCAGUCCUCUGUUACUUUCUUGUGGUACUUCCUAAUAAUAAAUUAGCAUCCAACUCUA